UACGAACUGUGCAAACGUUAUUCGGAAUCACUGGGCUUAAAGGGUGCGUAGGCGGUCAUUUAGGUAGGGUGUGAAAGCCCCCGGCUCAACCGGGGAAUUGCGCCCUAAACCGGGUGACUGGAGUGAGAUAGGGGUGUGUGGAACUUCCGGUGGAGCGGUGAAAUGUGUUGAUAUCGGAAGGAACGCCGGUGGCGAAAGCG
rnacentral:rRNA from 1 species